UGGAAAUCGGAUUGUUUAAUUUAUUUGGUAGUUAUUUUUAGAGUUUUUGGAAUUUUGGUUUAAGGUUUUUUGAUUGAUUUUUUUUUUGUUUAGUAGUUAAAGAUUGAUAUUGUUCGAUAGUUUCGGAAGUUUCGUAGAUUAUUACGGAUGUCGAGUUUUAGGUAAUUUUUAUAGUGGAAGGUAAGUUCGUUUUUUUUUUAAUUAAUACGGA
rnacentral:misc_RNA from 1 species